AGAGGGCUAGGCCUGCUGCUGGCUGGACAGAAAACUGUGAAAUAGAAGACCCAAGAAGACUGGCAGCUUAUUGUAGGAAUCUGAAUUGGAAAUGAGUCUUUGCAAAGCAAUCACAGACUUGUUUUGAAAGUGAGAGUGUUGGGGAAGGAAGCACUUUAGCAGCAGAAGAUGGAUUUGCUCAAAGCAAAGCAGUAUAAAACUUGGUAUAGCCUGUAAUCCCAGCACUUUGGGAGGCUGAGGCAGGUGCAUCAGGUCAGGAGUUCGAGACCAGCCUGGCCAACAUGGUGAAACCCCAUCUCUACUAAAAACACAAAAAAUAGCUGGGCUUGGUGGUGCGCACCUGUAGUCCCAGCUGCUAGGGAGGCUGAGGCAGGAGAAUCGCUUGAACCCGGGAGUCGGAAGUGGCAGUGAGCUGAGAUCCCACCACUGCACUCCAGCCUGGGUGACAGAGCAAGACUCAGUAUCAAAAAAAAUUUUUUUUUGUAUCAACAGGGUUUGCAGGGAAGACAGUGAAGUAAUGCUACUCCGUUUCCUGGAUCCUCUAUCACUAUAUCAGGAAUGGAAACAGCUUUAGGGGAAGGCUUGCUUUGUGGUAUUAUCAAGAUGACAAUGUUCUAACCCCCCAAGCAGCAGUUUUGCAGUUGGAAAGGACCUCAGCCCUUCUACCCUGAUCCCAGUGGCUUUGCAUUCAGACUAUUAGGCCUGGACAGCCCCAUGGAUACCAUUGCUUGGCCUCUGCCACCUUUCAACAGGGACUUGCAGGAGAUGAAGAACACUCAAAUCCUCACGCGUCAUUCCACAUCCGGGUUCCUCACUUAGACGCACACACUGAAGAACGUCUGCAU
rnacentral:lncRNA from 1 species